GUAGGUGGCAAGCGUUGUCCGGAAUUAUUGGGCGUACAGCGCGCGCAGGCGGUUCUUUAAGUCUGAUGUGAAAGCCCACGGCUCAACCGUGGAGGGUCAUUGGAAACUGGAGAACUUGAGUACAGAAGAGGAAAGCGGAAUUCCACGUGUAGCGGUGAAAUGCGUAGAGAUGUGGAGGAACACCAGUGGCGAAGGCGGCUUUCUGGUCUGUAACUGACGCUGAGGCGCGAAAGCGUGGGGAGCAAACAGGAUUAGAUACCCUGGUAGUCCACGCCGUAAACGAUGAGUGCUAAGUGUUAGGGGGUUUCCGCCCCCCUUAGUGCUGCAGCUAACGCAUUAAGCACUCCGCCCUGGGAGUACGGCCGCAAGGCUG
rnacentral:rRNA from 1 species